GGCCCGUUAGUCGAGCGGUUAAGACGCUGGCCUGUCACGCCAGAAAUCAGGGGUUCGAUCCCCCUACGGGUCGCCA
rnacentral:tRNA from 1 species